UACGUAGGGGGCAAGCGUUGUCCGGAAUCAUUGGGCGUAAAGAGCGUGUAGGCGGCUCGAUAAGUCUGCUGUGAAAGUCCAGGGCUCAACCCUGGAAGGCCGGUGGAAACUGUCGGGCUAGAGUCCGGAAGAGGCGAGUGGAAUUCCCGGUGUAGCGGUGAAAUGCGCAGAUAUCGGGAGGAACACCAAUGGCGAAGGCAGCUCGCUGGGACGGUACUGACGCUGAGACGCGAAAGCCAGGGGAGCGAACAGG
rnacentral:rRNA from 1 species